AUGGCCUGGAGCUGUAUCUCUCAAACGACAUGCAGUUCUUUGCGAUAAGUCCCAUAAUUUUGAUUGCUCUAUACAAGUCGGCAUAUCUUGGUCUGAGUUUGAUUGGCGGUCUAAUAGCACUACACGUCACGGUCACUAGUGCCAUCGUUGCAGUUAAUGACCUUCCCCCAAAUUUUCCCGCUGACAUGCAAGAUCCAAAUGCGAUGGUACAUGUGCUAGAGAUGUUUGAUAAAGUCUACUUUAAACCCUGGUGUCGCGUCGGUGCUUACGCAGUUGGCAUGGCAGUUGGUUACGCCAUCUACAGGACUGAGGGCAAACUUCAGAAUGAGAAAGUGGCAGGUGGUAGUAAGUUGGCUGCUGGCAGCCUUCUUCUGUCUUUCAACUUGUAUGGUCUUUAUGGCUAUUACACGGCAAUCAAUGCUGGCAGCGAAAGUCGCUUUCUACUCGGCCACAUGUAGAAAUCGCCUGGUCAGUUGGUCUGGGACUCCUCAUUUCUCAACUGUAUUCAUGGAUAUGGAGGAGUGAUCAACUCGAUACUAUCAUGGCAGGGCUUCAUCCCUCUGAGCAGACUCUCCUACUGUGCCUACCUGGUACAUCCAAUUGUAAUCUACGCAUACUUCUACAGCCGCAGGGAGCUGGUGAUGUUUACUCAUUCUUGGAUGGUGGUCAAUUUUCUUGGCAUCGCGGUGAUGCAUACUCGGCUGCUGCUGUAUCUCUCUUACAUUUGAGGCUCCAAUGAUGGCCCUCGAAAAAAUCAUCUUUAAGAAUAGACGGACCUAGUAGUAAUGCAUUCAAGCGCCAUUUAUGUAAACAAAACUUGAAGUGGACGAAAAGAUAAGUAAAUAAGGUUGGUGGUAUUUAUACCACCGAUGUCUGUGAGUGAGUGGAUGGGUGGUUGGAUGGGUGCUUGAGUGAGUGAGUGAAUAAAUGUUGCACUGCCCAUGAUCAUUCAUGUUGCUGCUAGGUUGCUAUCUCAAAGGUGUCUGAAAUGUCUUAAAGUGAUUACAUCACCGUA